AGUUCGAACGAAUCCCAGUUUUGUAGCAAUACAGAGCUGGGGGAAGUGGCGAAAGGGGCAGUUAAUGCGUGGGCAACCUACCCUGGGGAUGGGGAUAGCCGUCCUAACGGACGGGUAAUACCCAGCGAUCCGACGAGGGGGCAUCUUCUUGUCGGGAAAUGAAUUUCGCCUCGGGAGGGGCUCACGUGCUAUUAGCUUGUUGGCGGGGUAACGGCCCACCAAGGCUAAGAUGGCUAGCGGGUGUGAGAGCACGACCCGCGCCACUGGCACUGAGACACUGGCCAGACACCUACGGGUGGCUGCAGUCGAGGAUCUUCGUCAAUGGGCGCAAGCCUGAACGAGCGACGCCGCGUGUGCGAUGAAGGCCUUCGGGUUGUAAAGCACUGUCGAGGGGGAUCAAGGCGCAAGCUUGAUUGAUCCCUGGAGGAAGCACGGGCUAAGUUCGUGCCAGCAGCCGCGGUAAGACGAACCGUGCGAACGUUGUUCGGAAUCACUGGGCUUAAAGGGCGCGUAGGCGGCUCGCGAGGUCGGGGGUGAAAUCCCACAGCUUAACUGUGGAAGUGCCUUCGAUACCGGCGGGCUGGAGGAAGGUAGGGGUGCGCGGAACUUCUGGUGGAGCGGUGAAAUGCGUUGAUAUCAGAAGGAACGCCGGCGGCGAAAGCGGCGCACUGGACCUUUUCUGACGCUGAGGCGCGAAAGCCAGGGGAGCAAACGGGAUUAGAUACCCCGGUAGUCCUGGCCCUAAACGAUGGGUACUAGGUCGUGGGACAAUCAUGGUUUCACAACCGAAGCAAAAGUGUUAAGUACCCCGCCUGGGGAGUAUGGUCGCCAAGGCUGAAACUCAAAGGAAUUGACGGGGGCUCACACAA
rnacentral:rRNA from 1 species